UCCUUUUCUUCAUUCAUCUGAUUUCAAUUUCAGUCUCAGAUUCUUGGCUUUUAUUGAUUUGUCCCAUUUUACUUAUUUGUUUGUUCGAUCUCUUGAUUACGUUAUGUGAAAGAUGGGUUUUUGAUUUGAGGGUUUCUAUUAGUGAUUUGAUGAAGGGACUUUUAUUUUGAGGAUGAAGAUUAUGAUUUUAACAUAUUGGGCAUUGUAGAUAUCCUGGUUAACUGUGAAACAUUUCACAACUGGGAUCUUGUUUGAGGCUCGGGAAAAAGGGUUUGACUUUACAAUUCUGUUCUGAUUUUAGUUGCAUUAUAAUUUUAUGGAAAAUUUUGCAUGAGGAUUUACGCAUAGAUAUUCUUCGAAUUUAUAGUUGUUCUAUCUUUUUAUGGUAAAGAAAGGGAGAGUCUAUAUAUAUAUAUAUAUAUUUAGUGAAAAUGAUUUUACUUGAUAAGCAAUUGGUUGUUUUUGUAUUACUUCUUGGAUUCUUGAUCAAGAAGGGCAUUAACUUUUAUUGCCCUUUUUAAUUGAGAUCACAAUAAGCCAUGGCCCAUUUGGACCUUAGUAGGCUUAUCACCAUGGCAUGGCUUAUCAACUUAGGAAUGGUCUCUUCUUGUCUUAUGUACCCAACUUAGUAGGUUGAACCUCCUUGGAUGUGCAACUCAUGUUAUUAUUUUUCAAUGGAGCUAUUAACCUUGGUAACAUUUUGAUUUGUUCACACUCUUGAGGUAAUUUAAUAUAUAUCAUAUGUGUGGAGGGAUAAACACUUUUAUCUUUGUUUUAUUUGUUUCUUAUCGUUUCUAUGUAAUUGGUAAUUACAAAGAUGUUUGGUGUUGGCGUGUAGAAAGCUUACAAACAAGUUAUAUUUUGAAACUUUUAUGAGGGUGUUGUGGUAAUAGUGUAUCUGAAAAAUUGUUAUUUUUAUCCAUUGAUUAUUAUCAUAUAACAUUGGUAGGGUAGUGUGACAGUUUGCAAGUGGGACUUUUAAAUUGUCGUAGCUGGAUAAAGAAGCGAUAUAUUCAACUCUGAACUUCAUAGAAACCUGUGAAGCACUGAUUGCACUAUUGAUUACAUCACAUUUUCUCCCUCUAAUUGUAUGCUUGUUUCUGACUUUUACUCUUUAUUUAUAUUUAAGAACUGUGUUUGGUUUUUGAUGUAAUUUAGUUUUAAGAUUUAUGGUAAAUUGUGUAUACGAGUAUUGUAUUAAUUGUGUUCUUAAUACACUCAACAAUGCAUGUAUUUUCUUCCUUGCACACCUCAUACUUCUCAAAUAUACAUUUUUAGGGUUGGUUUGGCAUGAACUAUAUAAUCCAUCUUUUUAUCUUUUUUCCAUCACAUCACCUCUCUACUUUUCUGUACAUCUUUUCGUAAAAAGACAAAAACUGCACUUUUUUAAGACACCCCAAACCAACCCUUAAUGUGUUAGCAUUUCCAUUAACAUUUCCAUAUUUUACAUAUUUAUCAUCUUUUAAAAAAAAUCAGUAUCCAUAUCAUUGCGAUACAUUUUCCAGUGUAUACCUGUUUUGAGGUUGUUGCACAUCCUUUUUUGUUCAUGUUAUUUUCCGUGUUUGUGCCUUAGUAAUGUGAACACUAAUUGAACAAGUUGUCUUACUUUAUGGUAAGCUAGUAACCUUAGACAAAAAAUGUGUUGAUUUGAUGAAUUUACAAAUUUGAGGGUGUCCGUUGUAGGUAUCUCAUAACCUGACUUGUGUCAUACACAUGUAAGCAAUUAAGUGUGCCUUGCACAUCAUCAUACAAACCCCCAUGUGUUAACCUUCUAAGGAUACAUGUUUGAUAUAGCACCAAGAAGAAGAGAAGGAGAAUAGAGAAGACGGAAAAGUAUGGCAAGCACCAUCCCAAUCAAUAUAUCACUUAAUUAAUAUCCAAGAAAAUUUGAUAAUAUCAAUACACUCUGAGCCUUAUAUAUAUAUAUAUAUUUGUUGUAGCACUAUCUAAUUAGGAAACAAAAAAAGAUAAGGAAACAUAAAAUAAUAACUAAAAUCCUAAUGAAAUAAGCUCUCCUGAAUAAAUAGAACUCCUAAUCUUCUAUAAUGUCAUACAAUUCUUUUUCAUUCCUAUUAUUUCUCCCCAAAUGAGAAAAAUACUCCAUUGGAGAGUUGUGAAAAUAAAAGAACUCAAACAUAUGUGGCUCAUAUUGGCAAACACUUAUGUUUCUCCCCGACUGAGAAAAAUUCUACUUCGGAGAGUUGUGAAAAUAAAAGUACUCCCAACAUAUGUGGUUCAUGCUGGCAAAACACUCCAACCCUGGUGGAGUGUGAUUGGUUAAGUGCUUCUUGUAUGUAGUUAUUAUCAUCAUAGGUUGCUCUCAUGAAGUAGGAUUUGUUGGUCAUAAAGAAAGAUCAUGUCUGAACUACUCAUAACAUCAAUCAACUGAUCUCUAAGAGCUGAUAGUGGAAAAACAGCAAUUCCCGUACAAACAUUAUCAAACAAACGAGGUUUUCAAGUGUCUUGAUUAAGUAUCAUAUCUUUUCAAGAAAAAUCAAUAAAGUAUGCAGUUGGUUCAUUUUCAAGAAUAGUACAUUAGAUGUGCACAACUAUUAUUGCUUGAUACACUUAUGUUGAAUGUACUAUGAGAGGCCAACAACAUUGUGUUUGCUUCAAUCUUGGACAUGAUCAUUGGGAAGCCUAUCGUCUUGAAACCAAGCAGGGAUCAAGCGUUAGGCCAUCUUACAACUUCACUCCAUGAUACUCACACCACAUGUCUCUAGGCAUGCUGAAUCACUCGACACAUAUUGUGGUACUUUGGAGAUUUGAGGUUUAGAGGCUAGAGAUGGGGCAACCACUCUGGUGUUGCACCCUGCAAGGGUCCAAUAGCCUUGAGCACCCGUCCUAUUGAGAGAGAACAUUUGCAACUGAGCUUUACCCCAUAGGAAGACAUUAUUUCUCACUAAAAGGCAUCUCUAAUGGCCCAACGGUUUCCCUAAAGCUCUUUUUGGACGUUUAGUUAAGAUCACGUGCUCAGCUUCUGUAUAUAGAAGAUUUUACCCCUCUUACAUUAGUUAAGCACUUUACUUGAGUUUGAGGUCUCUACUCUCUCCGGAUAGACCUCAAUCACUCUCCAAGUCUCUGGUGCCUCUGAUGUGUUUUGCCACUCUGGUGAAUCCUUGGCCGCUCAGUCAACCCUUGAACAUCCAUCUAUUUAAUGUAUUGAUGCUUGAACUGUAUGUCAAUAUAGUUCUUGAUGUGAAAUUAUUUUUCAAUCUUUUGAACUGUUGGAUCAUAGUCAUCAAGGCGCUGUGAAUAUUCCAUGCCAUGGGCUUGGCUAAGUUAAAACUUCUAGAUGUAAACCAUUUUAUUUUGGUGUUCUUAUUUGGCAUCAUCGUCGUCGUCGUCGUCAUAAUGCUAGCAUUUUAGUGGGCUUAUAGUAAAGUUUGAUGCCACCCAAAGUGGACAGCUUUAAGUUUUUUGAUCAUUAUCUACUGGAAAAUGUGGCAGUCAUUGCCACUGUGAAGCAGACUUUGGACAUGUAUUUGCUUGCUUAGGCUGUUCCUUGUUUGUCUUGCGUUCAGUGUAAUUUACAUGUGGACCUUUGCUAGAGCAUGUUAAUAACCAAAGUCAUGGUAAGGAGUUGCUAAGCUUAAGUCCCAAGGUUC